rnacentral:tRNA from 1 species
AUUUAUAUAGUUUAAAAAAAACAUUACAUUUUCAUUGUAAAAAUAAAAUUUAUUUUUUAUAAAUA